rnacentral:tRNA from 2 species
GGGCGAGUGGUGGAAUUGGUAGACACGCUAGGUUCAGGGUCUAGUGCUCAUUGCAGCGUGGGGGUUCGAGUCCCCCCUCGCCCA